rnacentral:lncRNA from 1 species
UAUCUAGAUCUACUCUAGUUUAGAGAAGAGAGGAGAGCUCUCAUCUCUAAACCCUAGCUUUUGCUCUGUCUAUAAAUAAUGAAUAAUGAUCAAGAGGUGCCUCCUCCAGGGGCCAGGGGGUCUGGUUAUAUAGUCCCCUCAAGUGAACCUGGGCCGUCGGAUCAAACCGACAUUGAUUGAACGGUUAUUCUUGAUCCUUUAGGUCGGUGGAGCAUAAUCCGCGAGGUUGAACGUGAUUGGCCACUGUAGCAGGGCGGGCGCCCUAAGGACUUGGGCGGGCGCCCAGGUCCUGGGCCCGAUCGGCCUCCCGUUCGUUCCCGUGGCUUCUGGAGUCUUCUAGAUGGUAGAAAAUUGCGCGGCACGUUAAUAUCUCUAUGUAAACCCGACGUGUGGGCCUUUCUUCCUUAUUUCCUGAUAACCCCCUGCAGAAAUAGACAAACACCAAAACUCGUGGAAUUCUGUCAGAUAAAACCCUAAGUCUCGAUGUUGAUUUCAUUUGGAUCCUUUUCUUUGUUUAUUGGAUAGUUAAAUUUGAUACUUAAGGACCGUCAACAAACUCCCCCAAGCUUACCUCUUGCUCGUCCCUGAGCAAGGAUAGACUCAGCUAUGGAUCAUAAGUUGUUGCAAUAUCUUUAAAAAUUGACGGUACACAUGCUUUUAAAUGAGGUCUCAUCUCUGAGUUAGAGUAAACUGUCAAGACUUAAAACUUACUUACUUUACCUUUCACUAUGGGACUUGUAACCAUCACUUCUGUCUUGAGUAGUUAAAAGAUAGAAAAGUCUAGCCAAGUGCCAUGUCUCUUAUUCUUGAUCAGCUAUAGCUCUGGAGUUUUUGUAGAUUUUCAAAUAAAACUCAGAGAUUCCUUUGUAUGACUCUCUCAUAUCUCUCUUUUGUGGUAUUUCUGGAUCCUUACCAAGGCAGUGAUGGUAUAUGCCUUCUCUCAAAAUAUGUGGUAUUUGUGGUAUAAGGCAUAGUGACAUUGCCUUCUCUCUCACCCUACUAUAAUAAGGCUUUAAUAUCUGGAGCUCAUAGGUGGGAGAUAAAGUAUACAUACUUACAAGACAUUUAUUGUAUAGUCAAACCAUGGAUCCAAAGAAACAAAUCAAUAAGCCAAAUCAAGAUGUGCAUGUGUGGCGAAUGAAUGGUGUAUAGUGAUGAUGGUGAUAACAAUGGUGAAAGUCUAAUUCUACUUUUGCUCUUAUGAGGGGAUACAUACCUUCCUUGCUUUUUGACACUUUAUGAGGAGAAUGAGAUGCUCUUCUUUUUCUUUCCUCUCAGGUGGGUAUAUUGUACCCCUAAUUCUACUGUCGGACACUUGUCCAUUUUUACCUCUCGUCUCACUCUUUGUCUUUUCUUUCGAGGUUUCGGGCACUUGCCCCUUUUUAUUUCCUCGUUUAUUUUUUUUUCUCUUUUUUUUUCUCUUUUUUUUAGAGCACUCAUCUCUUAAGAUAAUAUAGCAAGUGGUAGUAGCAAGAUAACUUGAGCAUUUAUUUCACAAGGGUAAAACACAGAUGUUUUGGCUAUUCUCUCCCGAAUUAGGAGUAGAAUAUUUUUAAGUGAUUCUGGAGAUGGAAAUGGAUGGAUAUAUGUGGAUGGUACUUCCGGAGUAGAAGUAGCAUAUAUAUGAGUGAACGUGCAAGUGAAUCUUGAUUUAACCACAUGACAAGCUCCUAAGGGUCUACACAGCUUGACCACACUCAAUGCUCAUAAGCAGUAAAUAAUAAAUGUGUGGCUCAAAGUCUAGCAAGCAUGUAUAUAUGGUUGUGGUAGGAAUUUAAACUUUCAUCAUACAGGAACUCAUCAUGCAACAUUUUAAAGAUUUUUCAAAGAUAAAAUUCUCCAUAAUUCUAGCAUCUCUAGGAAUAGAUAAACAGCAGCUCAACCUUCCCAUAUCAUAUCCGUUAACAACUUAGAUUUCAGAUCAAGUUUUCAUCCCACAAGUUUAGAUCUAGAGCAAGCUUUAAAUUAUAACAGUUAUGUCUAAACUUGAGAGAGAACUUCAAAUUUGCAAAUUAGGCAGAGCAACUAUUCAUCAUAUCCAUGCUAGAGUUUUAUUAUUAAGAUUCAUAGCAAACUUUAUUUAUUUAUUUAUUUAUUUAUUUAGCAAACUAAGAAAAGAUAUAUAUAUAUAUAUAUAAGCAUAAAAUCUUUAUUUGGUUUUUUAUAGUUUAUGUAUUUUAAUAUUCUAAUAUAAUAUAAGUAUAAAGAUAGGUAGAAAUACUUAGCGAGAUAAAUGGGGGUGCUCUCCCCCAAGCUGAAUUUUGACGUAAUUUCUCUUGAUGUAGCUAGCAGGUAGCAGAGGUGUAUUUGAAAGUCAACAGCAUUCUGACAGCGAUUAGAAUGUCCUCCGUCUGCUAGUCUUCUUGAUUCUUAAAUUCUGUGGAGCUCAAAUAGACAACAAAGCUUGUGGAACUAAUUAAGUGUUAGCAUAAAUAUCUAGCCUUCAUCACGUUGAGCUUCCUCAAUAAAUAUUACUCCCUGUUUUUAUAUUUUUAUUUUAUAAAGUAGAAAAGAAAUAUUUAUUUUAUUUUUAUGCCACCACAGUGAAGGUACUUAUGGGUUUUAUGCCACUCGUAUACUCACAUGGGGCUUAGUAUUUUUUAACAUUUUUAUUUUCUUUUCAAGAUAGCAUGAUUAACUAAAAAUCUAUUUAAGGAAAGUAAAUAAUUAAAGGGAAAGGGAAUGCAGAAAGGAUAAAUAUGGAUAACUACCAAUCUUACCUUUCGGCGAGGGUUCGAUGUUUUAAGUCUUCUUGACAAGACUUCUCACCGUGUUCAUUCUUCAGGUGCGUCAUUUGAUUCAGGUGCGGACCUUGACGUCUGCACCUUUUAAUACGGUGUCACCCAUGUUCUUCGUUUGCCCAGCAGUUCGAAGUGAGGUGUUAGCAGUAUCUUGCUCAGUGUGUUUGUGCUCGUAGUGUACCUGCUCAUAGAGACAAGGCAGAGAUCAAGUGCAUGGGCCCUGUUGGUGGAAAACACCAACAGAACCAAAAGUGUAUUUGUUCUUCUCUAAUCUUAAGCAUAGUGAGCAAGACAAGUUGAUGGAUGAUAAGUUCAUGAGUGUAGCACUUAUAACAUUUGUCAGAUCAGAUCGCUCAACCUUAUGGAAAGAUAAUCUAUCUAUGUAUAUGUCUUUUUCUUUAUAUCUCUCAAUGAUUGAAUGUGUAACAUUUUAGCUCAUAUGAUUAGGAGUGUGGGAUCAUGGAGGUAGUACUAAGAACAAGGAUUAAAGGACUAAACAUGUUGAAUCAGUUGGGUUGGUUAAUCUAGAGUUGUAAAUCAUACACGUUUGUCUCUUUUAUUUAUAUGAACGCCAGAACCAAGA